UACGAAGGGGGCUAGCGUUGCUCGGAAUCACUGGGCGUAAAGCGUGCGUAGACGGUCAAGUAAGUCGGGUGUGAAAUCCCCGGGCUCAACCUGGGAAUGGCAUUCGGGACUGCAAGGCUGGAGUGCGGCAGAGGAGACUGGAAUUCCUGGUGUAGCAGUGAAAUGCGUAGAUAUCAGGAGGAAUACCGAUGGCGAAGGCAGGUCUCUGGGCUGACACUGACGCUCAUGCACGAAAGCGUGGGGAGCAAACAGG
rnacentral:rRNA from 1 species